rnacentral:rRNA from 1 species
AGAGUUUGAUUAUGGCUCAGAACGAACGCUGGCGGCAGGCUUAACACAUGCAAGUUGAGCGGGAUUUCAAAGUAGCUUGCUAUUUGGAUGAGAGCAGCGCACUGGUGAGUAACACGUGGGAACAUACCUUUUGGUGGGGGACAACAGUUGGAAACGACUGCUAAUACCGCAUAAGCCCUAAGGGGGAAAGAUUUAUUGCCGAAAGAUUGGCCCGCGGAAGAUUAGGUAGUAGGUGGGGUAACGGCCUACCUAGCCGACGAUCUAUAGCUGGUCUGAGAGGACGAUCAGCCACAUUGGAACUGAGACACGGUCCAGACUCCUACGGGAGGCAGCAGUGAGGAAUAUUGGGCAAUGGAGGCAACUCUGAACCCCCAGCCAUGCCGCGUGAGUGAAGAAGGUUUUCGGAUUGUAAAGCUCUUUCAGACGGGAAGAUGAUGACGGUACCGUCAGAAGAAGCACCGGCUAACUUCGUGCCAGCCGCGGC